rnacentral:rRNA from 1 species
UGGGGAAUUUUGGACAAUGGGCGAAAGCCUGAUCCAGCAAUGCCGCGUGUGUGAAGAAGGCCUUCGGGUUGUAAAGCACUUUUGUCCGGAAAGAAAUCCUUGGCUCUAAUACAGUCGGGGGAUGACGGUACCGGAAGAAUAAGCACCGGCUAACUACGUGCCAGCAGCCGCGGUAAUACGUAGGGUGCAAGCGUUAAUCGGAAUUACUGGGCGUAAAGCGUGCGCAGGCGGUUUGCUAAGACCGAUGUGAAAUCCCCGGGCUCAACCUGGGAACUGCAUUGGUGACUGGCAGGCUAGAGUAUGGCAGAGGGGGGUAGAAUUCCACGUGUAGCAGUGAAAUGCGUAGAGAUGUGGAGGAAUACCGAUGGCGAAGGCAGCCCCCUGGGCCAAUACUGACGCUCAUGCACGAAAGCGUGGGGGAGCAAACAGGAUUAGAUACCCUGGUAGUCCACGCCCUAAACGAUGUCAACUAGUUGUUGGGGAUUCAUUUCCUUAGUAACGUAGCUAACGCGUGAAGUUGACCGCCUGGGGGAGUACGGUCGCAAGAUUAAAACUUAAAUGAAUUGACGGGGUCAUAGCUGUUUCCU